UGCCUUGGUGUUGCCCAUUCAUUUGUGACGGUGAUGAUUUGGGUGUCAAGAGAGGCAUAAAUUAGGUGCUCUGCAGCGUGUUUGAUUUUAGGAGUUACUUCCUUUCUUCUUUCGCUGCUCUGAGGGACAUUG